AAGGGAAAAUAGGUGGAAAUUCAAAAAUCAAGUGAAAAAAGGUGGUGAGUCAAUUGUUUCGGGUAAGAGACUGCACCCGAGGGCGGAAGAUAGGAGUAUUUCUACUCCUAAUACUGCUCGGGGAAUUCCAUAGUUAGCUGACUUUGACAAGGACCU